UUGAAUUGACAUCAAAUGGCAACAAAGUAUGACAUCAAAAUAACAUCAAAACGACAUCGCGGAGGUCAAAAUAUUGACAUCAAAUUGACAUCAGUACAUUGACGUCAAUACAACUUUAAUUCUAGGCCUGUUUUUUGACAUAAUUUUGACGUCAAUGUUUGAUGUCAUAUUGAUGUUGAAUUGACAUCAAAUGCCCACUGGGUAGGCCUAAAU